UACGGAGGGGGCUAGCGUUGUUCGGCAUUACUGGGCGUAAAGCGCACGUAGGCGGCUUUGUAAGUUAGAGGUGAAAGCCCGGGGCUCAACUCCGGAAUUGCCUUUAAGACUGCAUCGCUAGAAUUGUGGAGAGGUAAGUGGAAUUCCGAGUGUAGAGGUGAAAUUCGUAGAUAUUCGGAAGAACACCAGUGGCGAAGGCGACUUACUGGACACAUAUUGACGCUGAGGUGCGAAAGCGUGGGGAGCAAACAGG
rnacentral:rRNA from 1 species